CUAAGAGCAGCCACCUUUCAAAAAGCGUUAAAGCUUAAUAAUAAUAACCCCCACCAAUCUUAAACCCCUCUGCGAACCCUACAUACAGUACUGAAUAACCUUAUAAAGUUAUAAGAGAUAUUAUGUUAAAACUAGUAACAUGAAGCAGCCCUUCUCUUUAAUGCAAGCAAACACCAAAACGGACUAACCAUUGGUUCCUAACGUUCAUGAGCUCAACCUAGUAACACCCUUCGAAAACCCUAUGCCCAUAUCACGUUAACCUUACACUAGAGCAUUACCAGAAAGAUGAAAAGAGAAAGAAGGAACUCGGCAAAUCUAGAUCCCGCCUGUUUACCAAAAACAUCGCCUCUUGAUAAUAAACUUCUAUAAGAGGUCCAGCCUGCCCAGUGACAUUUUUAAACGGCCGCGGUACCCUGACCGUGCGAAGGUAGCAUAAUCACUUGUUCUUUAAAUGGGGACUAGUAUCAACGGCAUCACGAGGAUUUUACUGUCUCCUUUCUCUAAUCGGUGAAACUGAUCUCCCCGUGAAGAAGCGGGGAUAAAACUAUAAGACGAGAAGACCCCAUGGAGCUUUAAACCCAGUGACAUCUCAAACACUCCGCCCCCCAAAAGUUUUUAUGCAUUGUCUACUGGUUUUAGGUUGGGGUGACCGCGGAGUAUAACCUAACCUCCACAGCGCACGAAGCUUCCUUCUUAUCCAAGAGCCACAUCUCUAAGAAUUAAUAUAUUGACGUAAGAUGAUCCAAUAAUCUUGAUCAAUGAACCAAGUUACCCUGGGGAUAACAGCGCAAUCCAUUUCUAGAGCCCCUAUCGACAAAUGGGUUUACGACCUCGAUGUUGGAUCAGGGUAUCCCAGUGGUGCAGCCGCUACUAAUGGUUUGUUUGUUCAACAAUUAAAACCCUACGUGAUCUGAG
rnacentral:rRNA from 1 species